ACAAAAAAAGACGAAAAGUAUCGUACUUUUCAGCAGGACAUUAGGGCAUAAAUGCGACACCUUUUUUUCUCUCGCUUUGGAUGACUCAACAGACGUAAGCUAUUUAUUGCUGUUCAGCGUGAUUGGAAGGUUUUUACUUUGAAAGGGACAACAAGAGGGGAGGAUUUAUUCAAGUCCUUCACUGAGUUCGGUAAAGAAGAAAAUCUACCGAUGGAUAAACUUGUUUCGGUGUGCACUGAUGGUGCUCCAUGCAUAAGUAUCCAAGUAUUAACCAUACUACAAAACCAUCAGCAAAACCAUGCAGCACCAGAAGUCGCAUUAAUGUGCUGUCUCCCUCAUGCCUGCCGCUUUCACAUGCCAUUUCUUCCCCUCCUCUACUCUGGAAUUCCAGCAAAACCGGCAUCCCAGAGGAGUGCUUUAGAUUGCUUGCAGAGGAGGAUUGGAUAAAUGAGAUGUGACGGCCUCUUGGAACAAAAUGGAUGAGGGAGACAUGAUCAAAGUGACUGAUGCAUGAUACAUGACAUGAAGGUAGCACAAUCCAUUUUCCAUCCUGAUUGCACUUUCUUGUCAAAGGAGAUGACAGAAGAUAAUUCAAAUUGUGUUGUUUAAAGGCCUGUAACCCAUGACUCCAUCUAACUCUCAGACACCAGCCCUGAUUUCGUUAUAAACACUAAAAUAUGAAAUUUUCCUCGGCUUGCUGGCUCACGCUGCAUAAUGUAAACAUUUCAGAUGUAGAUGGAUAAGGGAGUGCAGUGAAAUAAAUCAACAACACAACAGAAAAUAAUGGAAAGUUGAUAAGAUAAUUCAUAUUCACUGUGCGAUAUAGCAACUAAUCACAUAAGUGAUCUAACAGCUAACUUUGCGGAAUGGACUGUAUGUUUGGCUGAUUGCUCAGGUCAGGUGUCAAAUAUCUGUUCAAUAUAUAUCGUAUGGCUCACACAACUGAACCAA